CAGUAGCCGCGGUAAUACGUAGGGGGCAAGCGUUAUCCGGAAUAACUGGGCGUAAAGGGUGCGCAGGUGGUUUAACAAGUUAGUGGUGAAAGGCAUAGGCUCAACCAAUGUAAGCCAUUAAAACUGUUUAACUUGAGUGCAGGAGAGGAAAGUGGAAUUCCUAGUGUAGCGGUGAAAUGCGUAGAUAUUAGGAGGAAUACCAGUGGCGAAGGCGACUUUCUGGACUGCAGCUGACACUGAGGCACGAAAGCGUGGGGAGCAAACGGGAUUAGAUACCCCGGUAGUCCCUGUCUCUUAUACA
rnacentral:rRNA from 1 species